rnacentral:tRNA from 3 species
GCGCCUGUAGCUCAACGGAUAGAGCACCGGCCUUCUAAGCCGGGGGUUGCAGGUUCGAUUCCUGCCAGGCGCGCCA